rnacentral:lncRNA from 1 species
GACGACGGCGACGACGGCGACGCGAAUGAUUGGGAGGAGAGAGGGGCGUACGGCGAGGCGAUCCGGGCAGGGCGGAAGGCGACAAGGGGAAGUGGGCCGCGACAAGAUCCAUGAUCCGAGGAGAUGGUACUCGCCCCCUCCUCCCCGCCUGGAUUUUUGUUCCUUCCCCACUCCGUACUUGUCUCCAUCCGCUUGGAUCUUCCCGGAUUCCCUCCGCAUUAUGUAUGCACUGCGCGCUGGGGGCGGCGCGCGCCUCCGCCCGAUCGCCCUAGGGCUCCUCCUCCGAUCGAUCCCUUGUGGCCUCCGCUGCCGUAGGGGUCGAGAUGCGCCGAUCGAGGGUGAAAGGCACGUUUUAGUUUUUGCGGAAAUUAGGGCCGAAUUCGUGCUGGAUUGGACGAACGAUUCGAUUGGUGCUGCAUGCGGCGGUUGAGGAAUGUGUACGGUAGGAUGCCGAUUUGUGGUUUCCGAUUUGAGAAAUUCGUAGAACAUUCAGUUCCAAUCUCGUUAUUGUUGUCGAGAAGCUUCCCUUAUCCUCGAAGCUGCGGCCUCCUCCCUUUUAAUUUAGUGAAAACAUGCACCGGCAAGAUAGUUCCGACUAAUUAUUCAAAUUCGACGGUCCCACGUUUGUUCCCUGCGAAGGAUAUGCCACCCUUGGAUAUGCCACAUCUAAAUCACCUAAUGCCAUUGGUUGAAUAUCAGUAACGAGGGCUGGAUUCGGUGCUGACAUUGCACAACUAAGGAAGAACUGUGUCUGUCAGAUUGACCGAAAUCAGGUGGGAAAAGAUUAGGGAGUGUAGGGAAUACAAAUGGUUUAUAGGGAGUGGAAACUGGGGAGAAAGAACAGGAAGAGAUGAUUCUAACCUUUUACAAUUGUUAAGCCUCAGGUGCUUAAUGAUUAAAUCACUCUGAAGUAGUUCAUAUAGAUGACUUCAUGGGCUGUGUAUUACUAGUGGUUUACCAGUGUGAUGCUAGAUGCUAACCCUUUAGUACUAACACCUGUCAUGGUUAGUUUGCAUCAGCUUACGAAAUAUUCCAUAGCAGUUAUGUAAGCAACUGAAAGAGUCCACUGUUAAGAGCAGUACAUUAGUUUUCUUGGUAAUUGGAUCCAAAGGUACUAUAUUCUGAUAUUGACAAAGUGAAUAUUUAAGUUAUCUAGCAAAUACAAACUUUUAUUGAACUGAGAAAUGUUUUUUUCCUCGAUCUGGGGAAAUGUUACCGACUCAUUUCCAGAUAGCACAUUUCACCUGACAUUGUCUCUGACUGUGUUGCAUGCCUACGUUAGGAUGAAUCUUGUGAUGGUUGAAGUUGGUAUAGCACUCGACCAGUUUCUGACUCUCUUGAAUUUUAUUUCGUAACUUCAGGAAAAUACAGGGAGUUUAGAGAAAGAUAUUUUUACAGUGAGAUGGCGUUGGCCAAAACUGGAUGUCUGCAAUGCUGCAGCCAAAGCUAUGACAUUGUCUAUACAGUACAUGUCAGCAAGUGGAACGCAGAACAGUUACUCUGUGAGAAGGUACUCGGAUGGGUCAUGAGAGCAGCUCACAAUGCCUGGUGUUGGCAGUCAUGAUGUGGUAAAUAUUCCUGCUUCUGCAUUCAAUAUCUGUAUACACUGAUGGGCUAGUAUGGGCCUGAAUAUGUUUUCAUCAACUGUAGUACAGUGAUCAUAUUCAUAUGGACCUUUCCCCACCCCCACCUCUCUAUCUCUCUCAGAUGUGCAGUUACUGCUCAAGAGACAUUCAUUGAUAAAUACUCUUACUGUUCUUGUGUUUACCUGCUCGGACAUCAUUACUGCAAUUUAUUAGUUAUAUUCCUGAGGCAGGCAGCAUCACAAUUCAUGAAUGUAUCAAAGAUAUAACUACCUCAUUUACUUCGUGUAUGCCUGCACAGUUCUUUCUAUUCUAAUGUCUUGUUUGUUCCAUUCAACUAUUCACCAAAAUGCCUGCAGAGAGUAUAGUCUUGCUCAUUUACUUUCUGUGUAUAUCGGAACCAUCCUCCCUCUUCAAAUGGCCUGUUUGCUCCUCCUGUAAAAAAGCAUGCAGAUAGGACAAUCUAGUUCUUAGCUAUUCGUAUCCCUCCCUGUUCAGGUGUGGUAUAAUUUCAAGACGACAAGGAGGAUUCAAAAUAAGUGGGGCAGUAAUUAGUUUGAUGAUGCUUUUUAUUUGAUCUGCCGUACCAGUCCACCAAUCCCUGUUAUACAUUUGGGUAUUAUCAGAAGAGCACAGUCACGUGAUGCACAUGUCAUGCCAUGGAUUCUUGGACGAAUGACACGAUCAAUUCAUGGUGCCUGCUCUUGGCAUCUGACACGACAGGUCAGAAUCAUGUAUCCCCAUGUUGGUAUGUUUUCAUGUAGUCUGUUGCGUACAUUAAUUUCUUAAAUAUAAUUUUAGUUGCUUUUCUAACGACACACAAAACGAUUUACGCUGGUUACAGCAAAACUAUGACUAUUUACCUAGAAAUUGUAUUCCAUGAUGAUUUUUGAGCAUCUAUUCAUGACGUUAAGAACUGAACUAGACAGUUAUGUAUGCUGGACAUGAGCUAUGCUUAGAAACUUAGCAAAUGGGCAAUCUAAAACAAACCUAGCAAGCAAGCAGUCGAAAAGUACUGUGAUGACUAGAUCAAUGAAUCUGUAAAGACAAUGUCAUGGUGUUGUAACAAAUUCAGUAUGUUCAUUGUCACACCUUUUCAAAUGUUAGCUUUGGGAUGAGUUAGUUGAACAAGGACACUGUUACUGCUCAUGCAUAGAUGAUGAUCAUGCCAAUAAGGGAUCAUGAGCACUAUAGCAAUUGAACAGACAUCUGCACGGUGGAGGAAAGAUGUAUAAUGCCGGUGGCUAGUUUUUCCCCUUUUUAAAAGAGGAGUAUCCAGAUCAGAUAUUUGUUCCUAUAUCUGCUCAAUCCAGGCUGUACCAACCUAAGGACGAGAGGCAAGACCCACUAGAAAUUUGGGCAAUGAAAAACUUGUACUGGCCUUGCUUUGAUCUUGGAACAGUGUAUGCCAGUGGUUGGAGUCAUAGGGCUAACCUUUUCCGAUAGCAAGAACAUUGAUUUCCAUUUUCCCCAUUACUAACAAGACGAGAGAGAAGAUACUUCCUUGCUAUGAGGCAGUGAAAGCUGGAAGGACUCCAAUCAUCAGGACGCAGCUUGGCGCGCUGCUGCUGUCUACUACUCUCCGACAUAAUGGCAUAAUUCAAGGGUGCCAAGGGCCACAAGAGUUUGGUACGUAGUGCCCCAAGGCACUCAAACAAAACAAAAACCAAACGGUAUACGUGAUGAGGGAUUAGAUUAUCUUAAGGACCAUAGAUCUUAGGGGAUUUACUGGGGGGUUGUAAUGCCAGUAAAAAACUAAGUAGAUUUGGGGUCUUCGAGGUCUCCCUCGGUAAGUCUAUGAGCUGGAAUCCAUUGAAGAGUGUACACUCCAAGCAUGUCGAGCUCAUCAUAUCUUUAGAUAGUUGAGAGAAGGUUUGGUUGGUGUGAGCUUGAUUUGUUUUCUGUGGUGGUAUCGGAAUUAGGAGAGAGCUUGGGGUUAAUAUGGUGUUCCACACCCUGAUCACAGCUGUGCAGUCGUUGGUCGGACGGCUGUCGGGCACGAUACAGUUUGUUAACUGACGGGAAGCUUUUUGGCAGACCUGCUCUCGCAUGUGAUGCUAGACCCUCUUGAUCCUGUCAUUUGGCCUGUGCCGGAAGGUACGGCUGUAGAGAACUUUUAUAUAUUCUUUGUCGCUUGUUUGAUGUUCUCUCCCUCCCAAUUUGAGUCUUUUUGAUGGUAGAAUAAUAUUUCCGCAGGGUACAAUGGUGAACCAUUACAUUAGUUUUCUUCCGUUGCCUAGCACGUGCUCUGUAAUAUUCCCAUACUGGUUCAUUUUAACUUGAGGCCUUGCUGCUUCUUUUGGUUGUUAUUAUUUUCUGGAUUUACAACCUUUUCAUCUUUUUAAUUUCCACUUGCCCUGGUCAGUUUUCUGCUGGAUAGCUACAGCCUGUAGGUGCCGCAGGAAAAUGACAACAGCACCUCAAGUUAACGCAGCUAGCGCCCGACAAUGUGUUAAUGAGGUCUACUCAUAUCUCGUAAAGAAUCAAACGUGCUGUACUGUCUUCUAAUCUUGUAAAACAGUUGUUUUCUUCCAAAGCUAAUGUCAGAAAUUUCUAGGCAGCAAUCUACUACCUCCGCCAGGAAUUAACUGCCACUUUUUUUUGCGGAUUUGACAAUAUAUUAGCUGGGAAUCAAACCGGGCAGUUUAUUUUGCCGUAAGGCCAACUCCACCGCACGACCCCAAACGGACGUCCGUUUUGUCCGGAUUCUGUCCGUUUGGGUAGGGCGAUGGGGUCGUUUCCGGGCCUGUCCUCGGAUGCGGUGGCCGUGCGCCCAGCGCGCGGCUGCAUCCUUUACCCCAUCCUGUCCGCGUCUAUUUAAAAAAAAGAGCAACGUUUUAAAUGCCAAGCCCUAGUUCAUCACGGCCCCGGUUCAUCACGCCGGCAACAAAGCCAGCGGCCUACACGUCCAUCGCCAGCAUCAACAGCGGCCGGCAACACAGCCAUCCUCCAAAAUGAAUGGUUGUCCUCGCCGGCAACACAACCAGCGGCCGGCAACACAGCCAGCCUUCAAAAUGAAUGUUUUUCUCGCCGGCACACAGCCAGCGGCCCAGCGGGCGGGCGGCACCCGUGCCAGCCUCCAAAAAAGAACGGCCACGGCCGAUCGGACGACCUAGUUCAGGCCGUCGGCGUCAAGCAUCUCCUUCUGCCUGGCCUCGAACCAGGCCCUCGUCUUCUCGCUCAUCUUCGACAAGUCCACGCUCGUGAUCGCAAGGGCCACCUCCUUCGCUUUGGUGGCGGCAUUGGUGGCCUCGAUGUCGAGCUGCCUUUGCCUGGCCUUGACGUUGUCGGCCUCGAUGUCGAGCUGCCUUUGCCGGGCCGCCUCCUCCAUGUCGAGCUGCCUUUGCCGGGCGCCUCCUCCAUGUCGAUCUUCCUUCUCUUGGCCGCCUCCUCCAUCUCAAGCUUCUUCCUUUGAAGCUCUAGGUAUUGCUUCAUUUGCUUGUCCUUGCUUUGCCGCUUCUUCUUGUCCCUCACAUUCUUUGCCGCCUCUUCUUUUGUGCUUCCGCUCUUUGUGUCAGCUCGUCGAUGAACAAUGGCUCGCCACUAAUGUCCAAGUCAUUGAUUUCUUCUUCAUCACCAUCACCUUCGACAUAGACGUCAUCGUCUUCAUGCCACGAGUCACCAUGGUCGUAGUCAGCAUGGUCGUCGCCCUCUUCAUCGGCAGUGAACUGGCCGCGGCCAUCCUGACUUUGGGUCUCCUCGGGGUCGUAGACAGGGUCGUGCCCACCCUCGUAGAUCACUUCCUCCAUGAACUGGUCGUAGUAGGGGUCGUCGACCGGUGGCGUUGGUGUUGGCAUUCCGUCGAACAAGACGCGGGGGGACGGCAUGGUGCCGGUAAACGGCGGCCGUGCUUGCUUUCUUUGCAUCUCGACGGCCGGCCGGCCGCCGCUGCUGGACCCAGGGGCGACGUUGAGGUCGAUGACGGCCGAGGGGCGCGGUGUGGACGGCGCGAACAUGCCAACGUCCGGCAACCCUCGAAACGGGUCUGGCCGUCGUGCCUUGGUGGAGGGAAGCCGGGCGACAAGGGCGUGGUCCGCGACGUCGGCGACUGGCAGUGCGGAGGCCGGGCGACCGACGACCCUGUGCUCGCCGGACCGACGGCCCCUCCAGAGAAACCGGCCGGACGACAAAUGCCAGCCAUGAGAAGGGCGUGCGCUUUGCUGACGAUGGCCGCCUUCUCAUCGACCUCGGCCUUGUGCCGCGCGGCCUCAAUCGUAGCGCGGUCGGCCGCUCUCUUGGCCGCGGCGAUGUUGGUCUUGGCGACCGCCCUCCGGUCCCUCCUCUUCACCGAUUCCGCGUUCAACUUGGCGAUCUCCUCCGGCGUGCACUCCAACCGCGGUUUCCUUGGCGCCUUGCCCUUCUUCUUCUUCUUGGCCAUUCCGGGCGGGUCGACGGCCAGGCCGCCGUAGUUCGGCUGGGCGUCGGCCAUGGACGGGGAGGGAGUGGGGCGGGUGAGACGUGGGAGGGUUUUUUUUGGGGGGGGGGGAUGGCGCCAAAGGGGCCGCGGGAAGGUUUUGGUUUGUGUCACCGACAGGCGGGCUAGGGGCGGACACGCGCGCGCGUCCCGCCCUUCCGCGCGCUGUCCGUUUCACCCCAAAACCGGCGCAAACUUGGGCCGCGGAUGGGUCGAAAGCGGACACAAAACGGACACAAAACGGACAAAAGUCCGUUUGCUCCCGCGCGCUGGGCCGCCCGGUUUGUCCGUUUUACCCCAAACGGACGGGGCCGGACAGGAUAGGGUUGCGCGGUGGAGUUGGCCUAAUGAGUGUUCACCCAUUUCAGCUACAGUUAAUUCCGGAUGGAGGGAAUAUAUUUCUAAUGGGAGUAUUUUUUGGAGUUAAACUCGCUCCUCGUUUGCACUUUGUAUUGAUUGUUGAAAUUUAAAGUAUUUCUGUGUUGCUGAAUUGACAUGCACAUCUGAUCCAGUGCUAGCUCAUAUAAUGUAUGUUGUUUCACAUUAGGCAAGUACAUAACGAUCUUUAUAAUAGAUGUGUGGCCGGUGCUGCGCUAGGUGGAUGGACAAGAGAUACUCCAUUAUUGCACGAGAACCAACUGUUUGGUCUCCAUUUAUAUUUAGGUUGGUCUGACUUAAAAAGGCAAAGAGAUGCCAUUUUAGUACUAAUGGGGAAAAUCAGAGAUAUGCUCUCUCUCGUGGUCAUUUGGGUCAGGUUACAUUUUGUUGCAUAAUACAAAUGCCAAUAUUUAAUUAUGUGCAUAGACAAAAAUGCACUUUAUGCGCAUAGAUUUUUUUUUAAAUGUAGAUUUCCAUAGAUAUUUUCCUGCUUAGGACAAAACUUAAAUCCUUGAGUCAUUUUUGGAUCAGCUCGUAUGAGAAUGUUCAUAUGAGAAUGCCACCUGCUUUCAUCAUAUGGAGGGCACUGUAUUUUAGCUACUUGGCUUUAGCUGGCAAUCUCAAUAUAGUAUAAGCUAGCUACAGUUGAGUUAACCUAGAUUAAUGAUCCUGUGAUCUCCUUUAGCAGAUAAACAAUGGAACACCCGAGACUGAAGAUUUUUUUUGGAAAGCUCACCAAGAGUGAAUGAUCAUUUUUGUAUCUUUUAGAUUGAUUGGUGCAUGGAAAGAAAGGUUCCGGAAGAUGCAUUUGGUUGACUGGCAGCAGAGAGGAGAAGAUUACUGGUGAGAUGUGCAUUGCCCCUAGGAGGGGAGCAGGUUUGCACAAAUUAACAAACUAAAAAGACUAUAGCGAUAGAGGACAAGAGACGAUUCCUUGGUAUUAAGACAUCCAUCUAUCCCAUUCCGCCUUCUUCACGGACCUCACCCCUUAUUUUUCUGCUCAAAAUAAUCAUUUUGGCACUCAUAUGAUCCUGCAGCAUGCAUUCAGUUAUCCUAGAGUUCAAACCCUGUUGCCCUGAUCAUUUGCUACUGCAAAGUUAUCUUUAUAUGCUUCAGUCACAUGAAUGAUGAGGUCGAAAAAGAAAGGUAGCCUGCUAUGAUCAUUGCAUGCAGAAAUCUAAUCUUGUGUGCUGCUACAUACUUUUGCAGCAUGUGGCGAUUAUGCACCAAAUAGAAACACAUUUACAAGUGCCACUGCGGUCCCAUUUCAGUCCGAUGUUUUGAACCAUGCUGCACAACGGCCCUAGCCCUCCUAGUGAGGCUAAACAUGGCUUCCUCCCGGAAACUUGUCAUAAACUGUUCAAUAGUUUACGUGUCGCGCCUUUUNNNNNNNNNNNNNNNNNNNNNNNNNNNNNNNNNNNNNNNNNNNNNNNNNNNNNNNNNNNNNNNNNNNNNNNNNNNNNNNNNNNNNNNNNNNNNNNNNNNNNNNNNNNNNNNNNNNNNNNNNNNNNNNNNNNNNNNNNNNNNNNNNNNNNNNNNNNNNNNNNNNNNNNNNNNNNNNNNNNNNNNNNNNNNNNNNNNNNNNNNNNNNNNNNNNNNNNNNNNNNNNNNNNNNNNNNNNNNNNNNNNNNNNNNNNNNNNNNNNNNNNNNNNNNNNNNNNNNNNNNNNNNNNNNNNNNNNNNNNNNNNNNNNNNNNNNNNNNNNNNNNNNNNNNNNNNNNNNNNNNNNNNNNNNNNNNNNNNNNNNNNNNNNNNNNNNNNNNUUUUGAUAAUAAAGCGCACUUCGCAUGCCAGCUAGAGAUUAGUGGAGAACCCUAUGACCAAUUAUGUGUUAACUGUUAAGCGAUAGUUAACCCUAAACCUACUCUUAUGAUGUUCUCGAGCGAGCGCGGAAAAGACAAAGCUCAAGAAUUACGAGCUUGAAAGACGGUGAUGCCAAUACUCGUUUCUUCCACCUGCGCGUAAACCAUAGACGAAGGAAGAACUUUAUUCACCGCCUUAGGCACAACAAUGGAUGGGUUACUUCUCACGACCACAAGAAAUCCAUUAUCCAAAACCACUUCACUGAGGUCAUGAGACGCGGUCAGCCGCGUAGCAUCGACAUCAACUGGGACAACAUCCCGGUGCCGGCUUGCGAUCUCACUGAGCUAGGAGCUUCCUUCACGGAGGAAGAGGUGAAAAAGGCGAUUUUUGAUCUCCCCAGUGACAAAGCACCAGGACCGGAUGGCUACUCUGGGGCCUUCUUCAAAGCGUGUUGGGAGAUCAUAAAAGAUGAUGUUUUGCUUGCUGUCAAUCACUUUACCAAUGCGCUCCACAAACUUAAACUGGCUCAACUCGGCGAACAUUGCUCUCAUCCCCAAGAAGGAUGGUGCGGAAUGCAUCUCGGAUGUCCGCCCCAUUAGCCUCAUCCACGCCAUCGCGAAGAUCUUUGCCAAGAUGAUGGCCAACCGUCUGGCCCCCCACAUGCAUGACCUUGUCUCCAACGCCCAGAGUGCAUUCAUCAAAAAGAGAAGCAUCCAUGAUAACUUUUUGUUCGUCAGGAACUUGGCAAGAAAGUUCCAUCGCAACGGCUUCCCGACGCUCUUAUUCAAACUAGACAUCAAAAAGGCGUUUGAUUCUGUACGUUGGGACUUCCUUAUGGAUCUGCUGAAACACCUCCGCUUUCCGGACAGAUUUCGUGACUGGGUUUCAGCUUUGCUCUCUACCGCCACUUCAAGGGUGUUGAUCAAUGGAGUUUUGGGUGAUCCACUGAAGCAUGGAUGUGGCCUUCGCCAGGGGAACCCGCUUUCCCCACUUCUCUUCGUCCUGGCCAUCGAUCCACUCCACCACCUCCUCUGCAAGGCCACGGCCCAAGGACAACUACACCCUCUGUGUGGUAGAUCUUCACCUGUUCGGGCCUCGCUCUAUGCCGACGAUGCCGCCAUCUUUGUGAAGCCCAUUAAGGAAGACGUCCAAUUCCUUGCUGCUACCCUGGCCUCUUUUGGAGAGGUGUCUGGCCUCGUCACUAAUUGUGCCAAAAGUCUGGUUGCUCCCAUCCGAUGUGACAACAUCAACCUUGACGAUGUUCUUCAUGAUUUUCCGGCGGUGCGCGCCUCGUUCCCGAUGCGCUACCUGGGGCUUCCGUUAUCCGUCAAGCGCCUCAAGCGAAUCCACUUCCAGUACCUUGAAGAUAAAAUUGCGGGCAAGCUCCCUCCCUGGCAGGGAAGACAUGUGGCCUCUGCUGGCCGUGUGGUUCUUGUUAAGGCCAUCCUAACUGCCAUUGCUAUCUACCAUCUCACGCCGCUCGACAUCCCGGUGGAGGUCCGCAAGAAAAUCGAUAGUAUUCGCCGUGCAUAUCUUUGGGCGGGCUCAGACAAGGUGUCUGGAGGAAAAUGCAAGGUAAAUUGGGAGCUCGUCUGUAAGCCCAAGGACAAGGGUGGGCUCGGAGUGCUUAACCUGGAUAAGUUCGCCAAGGCUCUGCGACUUCGAUGGCUAUGGUUUGAAUGGACUGACAAGAGCAAGCCAUGGAUAGGCAUGGGGACGCCAUGCACGGAGGAUGAUCGACACUUCUUUGCGGCUGCCACUAUGGUCCUUGUUGGCAACGGACGAACGGCGCAAUUCUGGAACUCGUCGUGGCUCAAUGGCUUGCGCCCCCGUGACAUCGCGCCGGCCCUCUUUCACCUUUCUCGCAAGAAGAACUCAUCGGUCCAACAAGCCAUGACCAACAACCUGUGGAUCACUAAUAUUGAUGGCACCAAUGGUUUGUCCAUCGCGCAUAUCGAGCAGUUUGUUGACCUUUGGGAAAAAUUAUCAACGGUGGCUCUUGAGGAAGAUGUGGAAGACUCUAUUACUUGGAAGUUCACUAAGGAUGGGAUUUAUUCUGCUGCAUCGGCAUACAAGGCACAAUUCGAAGGUCUCAUAUCCUCUGAUCUUGUCAAGUCUGUGUGGAGGGCCUGGGCUCCACCGAGGUGCAAAUUCUUUGCUUGGCUCGUUCUUCAAAACAGAAUAUGGACAUCAGACCGCUUGAUCCGUCGUGGCUGGCCCAACUGUGGCUUGUGUCCCCUUUGUAAGCAAGCACAGGAGUCCGCUGCUCACCUACUCUUCCAGUGCCGCUUCACAUUGCGCAUUUGGAACGACAUUCUUCCGUGGCUUGGAAUGCACCACAUCUCUACUACUACAUGGACGGCGAGCGCUUCGGUCAAAGAAUGGUGGGACAGCAACCUUCAGACUCGUCUCGGCUCUCCCAAAGCCCUAGCCUCAUUGAUGAUGCUCAUCUCUUGGGAGGUUUGGUCUGAGAGGAAUGCUAGAGUCUUUCGCAACGUGGCGGUUCCAUCGAUGGUCAUCAUCAACAAGAUCAAGCACGAGGCGUCGCUUUGGGCUUUGGCGGGUGCCAAGCGCUUGAGUAUUGUAAUGCCGCGAGAGUAAUUUUCCUUUGUCAGCCGCUUGCGGCUUCUGUCUAAAACCUUCUCCCUUAUUUAAUGAAAUGGCAAGUCUUUUGCCUCGUUUCAAAAAAAAAAAAUUAUGCGGUGCGUUGGGGUCACAUGCUCUUUUGGCAUGCCCAAUUGCCUCAUUUGUUUUAGGGCACAUUGUUAGGAUAGGGAGGAAGUGCCAUCUCACUACGAUUAAUUAAGGGCAAGGAAGGAUGCUCUCUGGCACAUGCCUUCCCUUAUGGGGACCAGAAACACAUGGGAGCUACAUAACUAGAGCCCCCCCUCAAGAGGAACAAGGCUGUGGCCCCCUUCGGAGAUCUCUAAGAUUAGAGCUUUCUUGCCCAUAACAUCACCAUAUUCCCCUUCCCUGGUCCAAUUUCCAUAGUAAUUUACAGGUGCACGACACUAAAGCGAUGGUUGAAAGUUGUAGCAUGUUAACUGUCAAUUAUGUUUUCUGCCGUCAGUCAGCUGUAUUUUCUACUCGAUACAUUACAAUAUGUAGCAUCAUUAUAAUAAUGAACUGAAAAUAAAUGCUCAUGUUAAAGCACUACUAGUAAAGUUAGCAAGAGGUGAACCGUCUCUGAGAUUGAUUUCCCCAUUUGUGAUUUUCAGCAUUUCUUGGAAGGAAAAGCGAGUGUUUCCCAAAUGACGCUAAGGUCUUAAAGGAAGAUGACAAACAAACAUCUGCGGGGAAAAAUGUGCAGCUGAGGGGUUGGAUGUUGUGCAGGCAUGAGUUUUUUCCUUUUGCCCAAUCGAGCUUGGCUUUGGGAAGAAGAGAAAGGCGUUUGAUGGAGGCAGGUCCGUCCGUCCCUCAGGUGGGGAGAAGAGCCUGUGCUCC